AAACUGAAGAGUUUGAUCAUGGCUCAGAUUGAACGCUGGCGGUAGGCUUAACACAUGCAAGUCGAGCGGAAACGAUGUAGCUUGCUACAGGCGUCGAGCGGCGGACGGGUGAGUAACGCGUAGGAAUCUGCCUAGUAGUGGGGGACAACCUGUGGAAACGCAGGCUAAUACCGCAUAAGCCCUUAGGGGGAAAGGGGGGGAUCUUCGGACCUUUCGCUAUUAGAUGAGCCUGCGUGAGAUUAGCUAGUUGGUGAGGUAAAGGCUCCCCAAGGCGACGAUCUCUAGCUGGUCUGAGAGGAUGAUCAGCCACACUGGGACUGAGACACGGCCCAGACUCCUACGGGGGGCAGCAGUGGGGAAUAUUGGACAAUGGGCGCAAGCCUGAUCCAGCCAUACCGCGUGUGUGAAGAAGGCCCUAGGGUUGUAAAGCACUUUCAGAAGGGGGGAAAGGGUGUUGCUUAAUACGUAAUAUCUGUGACGUUACCUUCAGAAGAAGCCCCGGCUAACUCUGUGCCAGCAGCCGCGGUAAUACAGAGGGUGCAAGCGUUAAUCGGAAUUACUGGGCGUAAAGCGCGCGUAGGUGGUUUGUUAAGUCGGAUGUGAAAGCCCAGGGCUCAACCUUGGAAUUGCACCCGAUACUGGCAGGCUAGAGUACGAUAGAGGGGUGUGGAAUUUCCUGUGUAGCGGUGAAAUGCGUAGAUAUAGGAAGGAACAUCAGUGGCGAAGGCGACACUCUGGAUUGAUACUGACACUGAGGUGCGAAAGCGUGGGGGGCAAACAGGAUUAGAUACCCUGGUAGUCCACCCCGUAAACGAUGUCUACUAGCCGUUGGGUUGUAAUGACUUAGUGGCGAAGCUAACGCGAUAAGUAGACCCCCUGGGGGGUACGGCCGCAAGGUUAAAACUCAAAUGAAUUGACGGGGGCCCGCACAAGCGGUGGGGCAUGUGGUUUAAUUCGAAGCAACGCGAAGAACCUUACCUACUCUUGACAUCCAUAGAAUUUGGCAGAGAUGCCUUAGUGCCUUCGGGAACUAUGAGACAGGUGCUGCAUGGCUGUCGUCAGCUCGUGUUGUGAAAUGUUGGGUUAAGUCCCGUAACGAGCGCAACCCUUGUCCUUAUUUGCCAGCGAGUAAUGUCGGGAACUUUAAGGGGACUGCCGGUGACAAACCGGGGGAAGGUGGGGACGACGUCAAGUCAUCAUGGCCCUUACGAGUAGGGCUACACACGUGCUACAAUGGCGCAUACAGAGGGCUGCGAACUUGCGAGAGUAAGCGAAUCCCAUAAAGUGCGUCGUAGUCCGGAUUGGGGUCUGCAACUCGACUCCAUGAAGUCGGAAUCGCUAGUAAUCGUGAAUCAGAAUGUCACGGUGAAUACGUUCCCGGGCCUUGUACACCCCCCCCGUCACCCCAUGGGGGUUGAUUGCUCCAGAAGUAGCUAGCUUAACCCUUCGGGGGGGGCGGUUACCACGGGGUGGUCAAUGACUGGGGUGAAGUCGUAACAAGGUAGCCCUAGGGGAACCUGGGGCUGGAUCCCCUCCUUAAAA
rnacentral:rRNA from 1 species